rnacentral:rRNA from 1 species
GAUGAACGCUGGCGGCGUGCCUAAUACAUGCAAGUCGAGCGAACGGACGAGAAGCUUGCUUUUCUGAUGUUAGCGGCGGACGGGUGAGUAACACGUGGAUAACCUACCUAUAAGACUGGGAUAACUUCGGGAAACCUGAGCUAAUACCGGAUAAUAUUUUGAACCGCAUGGUUCAAAAGUGAAAGACGGUCUUGCUGUCACUUAUAGAUGGAUCCGCGCUGCAUUAGCUAGUUGGUAAGGUAACGGCUUACCAAGGCAACGAUGCAUAGCCGACCUGAGAGGGUGGUCAGCCACACUGGAACUGAGACACGGUCGAGACUCCUACGGGAGGCAGCAGAAGGGAAUCUUCCGCAAUGGGCGAAAGCCUGACGGAGCAACGCCGCGUGAGUGAUGAGGGUCUUCGGAUCGUAACACUCUGUUAUUAGGGAAGAACAUAUGUGUAAGUAACUGUGCACAUCUUGACGGUACCUAAUCAGAAAGCCACGGCUAACUACGUG